AUUGAACGCUGGCGGCAGGCCUAACACAUGCAAGUCGAGCGGAUGAAGGGAGCUUGCUCCUGGAUUCAGCGGCGGACUGGUGAGUAAUGCCUAGGAAUCUGCCUGGUAGUGGGGGAUAACGUCCGGAAACGGGCGCUAAUACCGCAUACGUCCUUAGGGAGAAAGUGUGGGAUCUUCGGACCUCACGCUAUCAGAUGAGCCUAGGUCGGAUUAGCUAGUUGGUGGGGUAAAGGCCUACCAAGGCGACGAUCCGUAACUGGUCUGAGAGGAUGAUCAGUCACACUGGAACUGAGACACGGUCCAGACUCCUACGGGAGGCAGCAGUGGGGAAUAUUGGACAAUGGGCGAAAGCCUGAUCCAGCCAUGCCGCGUGUGUGAAGAAGGUCUUCGGAUUGUAAAGCACUUUAAGUUGGGAGGAAGGGCAGUAAGUUAAUACCUUGCUGUUUUGACGUUACCAACAGAAUAAGCACCGGCUAACUUCGUG
rnacentral:rRNA from 1 species